CGCAGGCGGAAGGGCGGAGCGGAUCCCUGUGAAGCCGGUGGAAAGCCCGGGGGUCGCCCUGGCCGGGCCCCGCCUACCUCGGAUCACCUUUGGGGCACUGGUCCCCGCACCGCAUCUGUGCCUGGGCUUUUCUUACAGAAGGCUCCCGCUGGGCACGUUCCAGGCACCAGACAGCGGAGACCCCCGACCCGGGGCAGAGAGGGCACGGGGGAGCGGCCAGCUGGGGAGGUGGGCAGAGGAGCCGAGUGGAGAGUGGCCGAGUGGCCAGUGUUCUCUGGGUGGGUGGGGGCACUUGGUCCAGGCUUAGGGCACCGUCAGGGCAGGGAGGGCGUCGCAGGGAACCUACGGCGGAGGUGAGGCCCCCGGGAGGCGGGAAGGGCUGGGCAGAGAAUGCACAGAACUUUUCCGGGGGGAGGGACCUAACACCCGACUCGUCGAUGACCCAAAUCCUGGGGUGCCUGACAGCCGCGGUGAAAUCUGGCGCAAAUCCAGGGAAGGAAAUGGGUGUGGUCAGCUCCCCGCCCCCGACUCCGAGGGGUGGUCCUAGGGAAAAACGAGCUUUGCCAGGUCCUCCAGAGAAACCAUCUCUUUUCCCGUGCCUCGCGGUCUUAGCGCUCCCACCCUGCGCCCCCGAGGCUCCGAACUCAGCUCUACCAGCCCCAUGCCCUCUCUGGUGACGCUCAGGGAGAAUCUGUGCAAAGGAUGCAUAAACGAGUGAAUGGAGGCGGGGAACAAUGCUUGCUGCCCAGCCGCCAUCCAGGUCCUAUUCCCCAACCACGCGGUUCCGGGAAGAAGCCUCGGUGCGCUGAGCACACUGGUGGUCCCGACCUACUGAGAGCCUUCCAGCUGGAGAGUCUUCACACUGCAGAAUCCAAAGCUGAGAGGGUCCCAGCCCCAGGCUGGUCUGCUCAAGGUGGCCCAGAGUGAUAAUGCUUUCAACAAACUGGAACAGAGACUCCCCACAGGCCAGCACCAUCCUUGGGCACUCAGGAGUCUCGUGAUAUGCUACAAUGUACCUGGGGUCUGUUUGAAUCAGGAAUGAUUCUUUGGGAUCUAGGCCUGCUUGCUCAAAAGCUGGUGGAAAGAACCAAGAGGCCACGCACAGGAGCAGAGUUUACCUGAUCCCCGGACAGUGGCAAUGCUGCCUGAGGGGGUCAGGAGCUGGAAAUACUGGGAGCAAAAUGAGGGCCAGGGCCUCAGGGUGACAGGGCCUGUGCUCAGCCCAGAGAGGCUCGUCACAACCCCUCCUGGGCUCUCCACCUGCACCGUGUUCUUCCUGAGGCCCCAUCUCCUCCCUCUCCUGUCUGACUCCUUUUCUCCUACUUGGGCCCAAGUCCCUCAAAGGCAGAGCCUGUGAUGUUUCCAUUGGGCAUCUUUCCUGUGCUGAACAAGGACCCCAUGCCAAUAGAAGCUUGCUUGAAAAACUGACUAACCUCUGAGUCAACAAACUUAUUUUUCUUUAAAGGAAUGUACAAGUUGAAAACCAGGGUCUCCAGAAACAAAAUGGAUUUUUUUUACUCAGAACAAGAGUUCAAGCUUAAUUAGAAUGGAACCCAAAUAUGAAAAAAUAUGGCUGAAGUAGGACUCAGAGAUAUAUCUUUUAUAAAAUUCACUCUAUCAGAUGUCACUGACACUUUUGGAUUCUUUUCUAAGAGGAAAGCUGCUUCCUGUUAGUGUCCAUUGGAAUACUGCAAGUUAAAAAAAGUCAGAGCUCAUACCCAUUGGGGGGUUACAAUCAAAACAACAGAAAAUAACAAGUAUUGAUGAGGGUGUGGAGAAAGGGAGCCCUCGUGCCCCGCUGGUGAGAGUACCCCUCACGUGCAGCCACGGUGGAAACGUAUGGAGGCUCAUUAGAAGGUCACACACAAUUACUCUAUGGCCCAGCAAUUCCACUUCUGGGUAUAUACACAAAAGAACUGAAAGCAGGAUCUUGAAGGGAUCUUUGUACACCCGUGUUCAUUGCAGUAUUAUUUAUAAGAGCCAAAAGGUGGGAGCAGCCCGCAUGUCCGUUGAUGGAUGAAUGGAUCAGCCAGCAAAAUGUGUCGCAUCCAUGGAAGAUUCCUCAACCUUUUAAGAAGGACCGUCACGUCCUGCAGUAUAGAUGAGCCUGGAGGACAUUGCACUCUGAAACAAGCCAGUCACGAACGGACAAAUACUGUUUGACUCUGCUUAGAUGAGGUGCCUAGAGUAGUCAAAACUGUAGGGACAGAAGGACAGAAAGUAGAGUGGUGGUUGCCAGGAUCUGGGAGAAGGGGGAAGAGGGAGUUAUUGAUCAAUGGGGACAGAGUUUCAGUUUGGCAAGAUAAAAAGAGUUCUCAGGAUGGAUGGCUGUGAUGGGUGCACGAUAUGAAUAUACUUAAUACCACCGAACUCUACGCUUAAAAAUGGUUAAGAUGGUAAAUUCUUAUACUAUGCAUAUUUUAAC